UCCAAUUGUAAUUGUGGCUUGGAACCAAAAUUGGAAGUGGAAGAUGAACCCUUCUGAGACAAGGAUGUGGGAUGAUUAUAUUUGCGAAACAUAUCAAUGAAAUUUGGUAAUUGGGACAGCUCCAACUGUUUUAAUGAAGUGAAUAAUACCACAUCUUGGUAUUGACCAAAUAUGUAUUUCAAACCAGCACAUCUUCUAAUUUUGAUAGUUUCUAGUACUGGAAGUUCAUGAAAAAAGAGGAAAGGAAAUAUAGAUUCUAAUAAGGGACAUCCCUCAAUGUCAAGAACUUUUAGUUUUUGAAGCACUGAGUCGAGACAUUUGUUAUUUUCACUGUCAUCUCUUCUUUCAUCUGCUAUUAUGUUUUCCAGUUUCUCACAAUGGCCUAUUUUCAAUGUUUCCAAUGACAACAAGCUUUGAGAAGUCAAAAGCUGAUACAGAGAGACUAACAUUGGGCAACUCUGCAGUUUGAUGGUCUUUAGAUUGCAGAGGUUUAGCUUGCAUUUAAAUAAGCUUUGCAGAUGUUCACAGUCAUUGAUUGAUAGCUCCUCUAAAUUCCCCAUAGAGUCCGAGGAAAGUGUACCUUUGAAUAGUUCCUCCAAAUUUUCCAUUCCAUUCAGUUUUAGUACAACCAGCUUGGACAAAACAGUUGGUACUUGAGAACCAUCUUUGUCAACGAGGCACUGUAACUGUGAAAUACAACUCAAACGAAAUAAGGAUUCAUAAAUAGCCAAUAUCAUUAUACAUAAUUAUUUAAAUACAAGUUUAAAAUUAAUUGAAUGUUCCCAAUGGUAGAAUAGCCAAUAUCAAUCAAAGGACGUACGCUACAACUUAUAUGAGACCAUUAAAUUCAGUAUCUGCGGUUUUAGUGUAGGAUUAAAGCUAAGUCAAGAACGAUAAAUUCUACCUAAAGUUAGUGUGAGGACAUACUAGUUUAGGCACACAUGACAACUUGCGACACCAUUAAAUUCAGUAUCUGCGGUUUUAGUGUAGGAUUAAAGCUAAGUCAAGAACGAUAAAUUCUACCUAAAGUUAGUGUGAGGACUAGUUUAGGCACACAUGACAACUUGCGACACCAUUGAGCCUUAAGGGUAAGGAUACCUAAGUUUAAACGAAAGUGGAACCGACUGAGGCGAGGAUACAUAUAAGCAGAGUAAAGACAACCUAAAUUAGGCUCUAACCAGUUUGUAAUAGAAAUAGGCAAAGAGGGUUCCUGAACCUAUUUUAUAAAUACUAAUCCUAAUAGAGGGGAACAAAGGAAAUUAACCACCAAGCAAGGAUAAGGAAGGGAUUCGAAAACACUUAACUACCCCGUGUGGACACACACACCAUUUUAUUUUUACAGUCAUUUACUUUCCUGCUAUUUACUUUUACCCCCACAACUAUCUUUAAAACAAACAAAGCGAAUGCAAACUAUCUAAAUUCCUAAGCGAAACUAGUAAUUUUGGCACAAUCUCUAUGGAGAACAAUAACUUAUCACUUUAUUACUUAGUAGCGAUUCUGUGCACUUGCAGAGCCACCAUCAGGUAUCAUACAUUAUUAACAAGUGGUCCCUUCUAGAUUUAUUUUUUUUGACUUAAAUUGAUGAUAUUAAAUUGAUGAUCCAUACUACAUAAAUCUCUCACCCACUGGUAUACUCAGUAUAUUACAAUGUAUAGUGAUUUGUUACUAUGUUAAUCGAACAUAGAACCUCAUCCAUACUACAGAAAUCUUCUAGUUUACAUGUAAAACUUCUUGAUAAUUAAGUUUGGGAUGUUUUAUAUACACAAAUGUUGUUAUAAAUAUGUAAGUUAACAUACUCCACCCUCCCUUACUUAUUAUAAACAAAAAACAUUACUAUCAAAUUAAAAAUAGUAUCUAAUCUAUAAUAUAAAUCAAAUAUAUUAGUUAUUCAAUGAAUAUUAAAAGUGAGUAUAAUUAUUAUAAAGGACCAUGAAUUUCACCAAAAGACAAAUUGUUUAAGAGGAUUCGAAUUCAAUUCCUGCGUGAAAUAAUUUUUUAUCAUAUUUUACUUGCUUCGCAGCCAAAUUCAAGAUUAUUAUCCUCCUUCCCCUAAAUGCCGUUAACAUAUAAAAUAAAUAAAUAUUAUAAAGGGAAAGAAUUACCAAACUAAAUAGAAAUGGUGAGAGGCUUACCGAGUAGUCCAAUUGUAAUUGUGGCUUGGAACCAAAAUUGGAAGUGGAAGAUGAACCCUUCUGAGACAAGGAUGUGGGAUGAUUAUAUUUGCAAAACAUAUCAAUGAAAUUUGGUAAUUGGGACAGUUCCAACUGUUUUAAUGAAGUGAAUAAUACCACAUCUUGGUAUUGACCAAAUAUGUAUUUCAAUUCAUCACAUCUUCUAAUUUUGAUAGUUUCUAGUACUGGAAAGUCUUGUACAAAGAGGAAAGGAAAUAUAGAUUCUAGUAAGGGACAUCCCUCAAUAUCAACAACUUCUAGUUUUGGAAACAUUUUGCCAACACAUUUGUUAUUAAGGCAAUGUGAAUUCGAUUCCU
rnacentral:lncRNA from 1 species